rnacentral:rRNA from 1 species
UACGAAGGGGGCUAGCGUUGCUCGGAAUCACUGGGCGUAAAGCGCACGUAGGCGGAUUGCUAAGUCAGGGGUGAAAUCCUGGAGCUCAACUCCAGAACUGCCUUUGAUACUGGCAACCUUGAGUCCGGGAGAGGUGAGUGGAACUGCGAGUGUAGAGGUGAAAUUCGUAGAUAUUCGCAAGAACACCAGUGGCGAAGGCGGCUCACUGGCCCGGUACUGACGCUGAGGCGCGAAAGCGUGGGGAGCAAACAGG